rnacentral:rRNA from 1 species
CAGCGCCACAAGUGGCAACCAGUAUUAUUGGGCCUAAAGCGUCCGUAGCCGGUCGGAUAAAUCUUUUGUGAAAUUGUUGAGCUCAACUUAACAACGUGCAGAAGACACUGUUCGACUUGGGACCGGGAGGAGUUAGAGGUAUUUCUGGGGGAGCGGUAAAAUGCAAUAAUCCCAGGAGGACCACCUAUGGCGAAGGCAUCUAACCAGAACGGAUCCGACGGUGAGGGACGAAAGCCAGGGGAGCAAACCGGAUUAGAUACCCGAGUAGUCC